rnacentral:pre_miRNA from 1 species
AUAAUACUUCCUCUGUCCGAAAAUACUUGUCGAAGAAAUGAAUAAAAAUGAAUGUAUUUAGAACUAAAAUACGUCCAGAUACAUUCAUUUCUUCGACAAAUAUUUCCGGACGGAGGGAGUAAUAU